rnacentral:rRNA from 1 species
GACGUAGGGCGCGAGCGUUGUCCGGAUUUAUUGGGCGUAAAGAGCUCGUAGGCGGCUUGUCGCGUCGAAUGUGAAAUCUCAGGGCUCAACUCUGACAUUGCAUUCGAUACGGGCAGGCUAGAGUUCGGUAGGGGAGACUGGAAUUCCUGGUGUAGCGGUGAAAUGCGCAGAUAUCAGGAAGAACACCCGUGGCUAAGGCGGCACUCUGGGACGGUACUGACGCUGAGACGCGAAAGCGUGGGGAGCGAACAGG